GAUGAACGCUGGCGGUAUGCUUAACACAUGCAAGUCGAACGGAAUCUUCGGAUUUAGUGGCGGACGGGUGAGUAACGCGUGAGAAUCUGGCUUUAGGUCUGGGACAACCACUGGAAACGGUGGCUAAUACCGGAUGUGCCGAAAGGUGAAAGGUUAACUGCCUGAAGAUGAGCUCGCGUCUGAUUAGCUAGUUGGAAGUGUAAUGGACUCCCAAGGCGACGAUCAGUAGCUGGUCUGAGAGGACGAUCAGCCACACUGGGACUGAGACACGGCCCAGACUCCUACGGGAGGCAGCAGUGGGGAAUUUUCCGCAAUGGGCGAAAGCCUGACGGAGCAAUACCGCGUGAGGGAGGAAGGCUCUUGGGUCGUAAACCUCUUUUCUCAGGGAAGAACACAAUGACGGUACCUGAGGAAUAAGCAUCGGCUAACUCCGUGCCAGCAGCCGCGGUAAUACGGAGGAUGCAAGCGUUAUCCGGAAUGAUUGGGCGUAAAGCGUCCGCAGGUGGCAAUGUAAGUCUGCUGUUAAAGAGUCUAGCUCAACUAGAUAAGAGCAGUGGAAACUACAUAGCUAGAGUACGUUCGGGGCAGAGGGAAUUCCUGGUGUAGCGGUGAAAUGCGUAGAGAUCAGGAAGAACACCAGUGGCGAAGGCGCUCUGCUAGGCCGUAACUGACACUGAGGGACGAAAGCUAGGGGAGCGAAUGGGAUUAGAUACCCCAGUAGUCCUAGCCGUAAACGAUGGAUACUAGGCGUGGCUUGUAUCGACCCGAGCCGUGCCGUAGCUAACGCGUUAAGUAUCCCGCCUGGGGAGUACGCCGGCAACGGUGAAACUCAAAGGAAUUGACGGGGGCCCGCACAAGCGGUGGAGUAUGUGGUUUAAUUCGAUGCAACGCGAAGAACCUUACCAAGGCUUGACAUGUCGCGAAUCUUCUCGAAAGGGAAGAGUGCCUUCGGGAGCGCGAACACAGGUGGUGCAUGGCUGUCGUCAGCUCGUGUCGUGAGAUGUUGGGUUAAGUCCCGCAACGAGCGCAACCCUCGUUUUUAGUUGCCAGCAUUAAGUUGGGCACUCUAGAGAGACUGCCGGUGACAAACCGGAGGAAGGUGGGGAUGACGUCAAGUCAGCAUGCCCCUUACGCCUUGGGCUACACACGUACUACAAUGCUCCGGACAGAGGGCAGCAAGCAUGCGAAUGCAAGCAAAUCCCGUAAACCGGAGCUCAGUUCAGAUCGCAGGCUGCAACUCGCCUGCGUGAAGGAGGAAUCGCUAGUAAUUGCAGGUCAGCAUACUGCAGUGAAUUCGUUCCCGGGCCUUGUACACACCGCCCGUCACACCAUGGAAGCUGGUAGUGCCCGAAGUCAUUACUCCAACCUUUCGGGGAGGAGGAUGCCUAAGGCAGGACUGGUGACUGGGGUGAAGUCGUAACAAGGUAGCCGUACCGGAAGGUGUGGCUGGAUCACCUCCUUUUUAGGGAGACCUAUACCCCUUAGAUAUCGAAAAGCAAACAGCUAUAUAGAUAAUAAGUUGGUCAUUCCUUAGGUCGGUCG
rnacentral:rRNA from 1 species